GUAAAGGCAGUUUAGUGGUAAAAUUCUCACCUUCCCUGCAGGAGACCCAGGUUCGAUUCCUGGCCAAUACA
rnacentral:tRNA from 1 species